AUUGAGGGUCUUAUUUGGUCAUUUGACGUGCUUGCAAUCGUAGUUUCAUUUCCUUCAAAUCACGUUCUUAUAAAGGGAAGGGCACAACUAGACAGCCGUUGACAUGGAUGUUUUCCACAAUUGACGGAAUGCAGCUGGAAUAGCUUUGGUCAUAGGUCAACAACCACCAUUUCGAGCAAGCAAAACAGCCUUUAAGUCGGCGAUAGAAAAGCAUCAGAUAGAAGU